UAAACUUUAAGUUAACUAAAAACUAUUAUCCUUCAAAGAUAAAAUUGAUCAUCUUUUCAAGUUUAA
rnacentral:tRNA from 1 species